AAUCAGUAUUGCGGGCACUUUCUAAGGAGCUCCUUAAACCUUUCCCACGUCUCGCAUUGAGACUCCAAUUCUAACUGUACAAAGGAUGGGAUCUCAUUCCUAAGCUU